rfam:Mus musculus chromosome 11, GRC primary reference assembly.
GCUGAAAUAGCUCAGUUGGGAGAGCAUUAGACUGGAGAUCUAAAGGUCCCUGGUUUGAUCCCGGGUUUCGGCA